UACGUAGGGUGCGAGCGUUGUCCGGAAUUAUUGGGCGUAAAGGGCUCGUAGGCGGUUUAUCGCGUCGGGGAGUGAAAACACUGGGCUUAACCCAGUGCUUGCUUUCGAUACGGGCAGACUAGAGGUAUGCAGGGGAGAACGGAAUUCCUGGUGUAGCGGUGAAAUGCGCAGAUAUCAGGAGGAACACCGGUGGCGAAGGCGGUUCUCUGGGCAUGAUCUGACGCUGAGGAGCGAAAGUGUGGGGAGCGAACAGG
rnacentral:rRNA from 1 species